UACGUAGGGUGCAAGCGUUAAUCGGAAUUACUGGGCGUAAAGCGUGCGCAGGCGGUUUUGUAAGUCUGUCGUGAAAUCCCCGGGCUCAACCUGGGAAUUGCGAUGGAGACUGCAAGGCUGGAGUCUGGCAGAGGGGGGUAGAAUUCCACGUGUGAGCAGUGAAAUGCGUAGAGAUGUGGAGGAACACCGAUGGCGAAGGCAGCCCCCUGGGUCAAGACUGACGCUCAUGCACGAAAGCGUGGGGAGCAAACAGGAUUA
rnacentral:rRNA from 1 species